CAGUAGCCGCGGUAAUACGAAGGGGGCUAGCGUUGCUCGGAAUUACUGGGCGUAAAGGGAGCGUAGGCGGAUUGUUUAGUUAGGCGUGAAAUUCCUGGGCUUAACCUAGGGACUGCGCUUAAUACAGGCAGUCUAGAGUGAGGAAGAGGGUUGUGGAAUUCCCAGUGUAGAGGUGAAAUUCGUAGAUAUUGGGAAGAACACCGGUGGCGAAGGCGGCAACCUGGUCCUUGACUGACGCUGAGGCGCGAAAGCGUGGGGAGCAAACAGGAUUAGAUACCCCUGUAGUCCCUGUCUCUUAUAC
rnacentral:rRNA from 1 species